UACGUAGGGUGCAAGCGUUAAUCGGAAUUACUGGGCGUAAAGCGUGCGCAGGCGGUGAUGUAAGACAGUUGUGAAAUCCCCGGGCUCAACCUGGGAACUGCAUCUGUGACUGCAUCGCUGGAGUGCGGCAGAGGGGAUGGAAUUCCGCGUGUAGCAGUGAAAUGCGUAGAUAUGCGGAGGAACACCGAUGGCGAAGGCAAUCCCCUGGGCCUGCACUGACGCUCAUGCACGAAAGCGUGGGGAGCAAACAGG
rnacentral:rRNA from 1 species